GCACUGAAGUGGAAGGUGGGGUGAGGAAGGUGAGACAGGGCUCCCUGUUUGCUGGGGGUGAGCGGGGGUGAGCGGGGGUGGGGGCAGCAGAGGAGCACCUGCCUCAGAGAAUCAUCAGCACAGUUGUAUGGGGACAGAUUUUGCCUGAUGCCGGCCUCCUGCUCUGCAGAACAGGGAGAGGAGUCUGGCUUGUGGGCAGCACAGAGCCCCGGACCUCAGGAAGCCUGCAGGGUGAGGACAAGUGGGAGCGGCCAUCGCAGGAGAACUCUCCAAUCAGGAGGAGCGGAGCCAGCACUCAGCUGUCAUCCAGGAGGACCAGAACCCGAGCGCAGGAGACACAGAGCUGCCCACCGGCCCCACCAGCAGCUCACCAUGGGCCCCACACUCCUUCCCUGGGCGAUGCUUUGUCUCCUGGGAGCAGGCCCCUUGGAGGCUGGAGUCACCCAAACUCCAAGACACCUGAUCAAAACCACAGGACAGACGGUGACCCUGAGAUGUUCCCCUAUCUCUGGGCACCUCGGUAUAUCUUGGUACCAACAGGCCUGGAGUCAGGGCCCUCAGCUGCUCUUUGAGUUUUAUGAAAGGAGGCAAACAGCCAAAGGAAACUUCCCGGAUCGAUUCUUAGCACAACAGUUCAGUGACUCUCGCUCUGAGCUGAACGUGAGCUCCUUGCAGCUGUCGGACUCAGCCCUGUAUCUCUGCGCCAGCAGCCUGCUCAGCGUCAGGGGCCACCCAUGUGCCCUGGGCACCAGUGCUCUUCCACCCUUGGCUUAUUUUUUUAAAUGGGCAUUUAUACCAUGUCCCAUAGUCAGUGUCUUUCUGGACAUCGCCCACUUAGACACCACAAAUUCUGCAGCCUGA